GAGAGCCGGAUGAGGGGAGACCCUCAUGUUCGGUUCGGAGGGCGGGGAUAUCCCGACCCUAAU
rfam:Triticum aestivum genome assembly, contig: Triticum_aestivum_CS42_TGACv1_scaffold_020204_1AS